rnacentral:rRNA from 1 species
CCCCCACUAUGCUUAGGAAUAAACUCAGACCCUCCCUGGUCCGCCAGAAAAUUACGAGCGAAAGCUUAAAACUCAAAAGACUUGACGGUGUUCCAACCUACUUAGAGGAGCCUGUUCCAUAAUCGAUAAUCCACGAUAAACCCAACCACCCAUUGAAAUAUCAGCCUAUAUACCGCCGUCAACAGCCCGCCUUCCAAAAGAGUAAAAGCGGGCCAAAUAGAUUCUUCUCUAAAAAGUCAGGUCAAGGUGUAGCUAAUGGGGUGGAGAUAAUGGGCUACAUUUUUUAAAAUAAAAUACACGGACUGAUUUCUGAAACAAAAUCAUAAAGGCGGAUUUAACAGUAAGUCAAAAAAGAACAUUUGACUUAACCAAGCUCUGGAACACAGUACACACCGCCCGU